GUAAAGUGUAUUUACUCUCUUGAAAAAGAAUGAGGUUGCUGACUGACAACAUGAUGAAAGGAAAAUUUACAGCAUUGAAGGUAGAACAGAACUUUGAAGGUGUUACUUCAUGGAAGCCUGAAGAUACAUUGAACAUUCAACAGUAAGCUUGGGUACUCCACUUUGAAAAUGUUAGAAUGCCCAUCCUAAAUGUCCUUGGAGAAGUUGGAGUCAGGUUCAAGGCAUGCAUGGCUCUCUGUUGGAAAAUUGGCAAUGUGGAGCCUUCCUCCCAGAAGACAGAAUCUGUGUUGGUUUGGGAAUCUUCUUCAUCUGUGAGACUUUCUCUUUUGCCUUGAGUAAGGGAUGGAAUUCUCCUUCCCAGUGGUUGUAAGAGAAAGUCCAGUGGGUUCCUUCACUAACUGUACCAGGUCUUUAGGUCUAGAAAUUGUGGAAAAAAGAUGAGAUCCAGAGAAAUUCAACCAUGGAAGGCUUUAUUGGAGAUUUUGCCUGAGAGGAAAGAAUAGAGCAGCAUUUCUGACUGAGAGAGUGCCAGGCUGUCCUUGGAUGAAGGGACCAGUUUUUAUUUCUGUGUAUUUGCUGUUUUUCUAGUGUCAGACUAGCUCAGACUAUUCUCUGGGUCUGUUCUUAAUCUUCCUUCAAGUUCCAUUGUUCAGUGUAGUUUCUCUUGUGCUGGACUAAUUCACAUGCAGGGUAAGCAGCAUGGAGUCAAGUCCCAGACUCUGAGAGUUGCAUGAAAGCAGGCUUGUGGCAAGAAGCUUGCAAACAUGUUUAUUGUGAGAACAGUUAUACAUUUUACAGGUUUUUUGUCCAAUCACAAUGUGCCACAGGGGAUCAGACCACCAGGUUCCUAUAACGAGUUCCCUUGCUAACAUUGAGUCAAUUUGUGGCAGUUGUGUACUUUCCUAGGUGCCCAAAGAAGAAUGGUCCUCCCCAUAAGUUUUCCUUACACACUUGAGAUGUUCACUGCUGCCAGCCAAGAAGUAGAAAUUCUCCCAACAUGUAUUUGUUGCAGGACAGUGUUAGUCUCAGACUUUUAUUGGUUUAGGGCAUAGUUUCAAAAGGUGUUUCCUUUUUUAUUUAUUUAUUUUUUAAAAUUUUUUGACCUGUGCAAACAUUACGACUUUGAGAAUCAGUCAGUCAUCUUGGAGCCUAGGCACUGCUAAAUUCCUUCUGCUGGUGAAGAAUUCUGUGCAGACAUUUUAUCCUGUCAAGAAUGAAUUGCUACAGUUUUAUAAAAAAGUAGUUGAGUAGAAGAAAAGAAAGCAUUUAAGUAACAAAUGAAGGUGGAAACUUGCUUUCAGCCUGAUGCAAUGAUGUCAUGAUAGAUUAUUUUAUCUAGCUCAUCCCUGGAGACUGUAAGAUAAGGCAUUCUGGUUUUCAUAAAUACUUGGCUUUGUUCUGUUAUUGUUGUGUUAUUUUAUUAGAGAUUGAACUUGGGGCAUUGAACCAUUGAGCAACAUCCCAGUUCUUUUUAAGUCUCUUGCAAAAUUACCCAGGCUGCCCUCAA